CGACUUACAUUCAGUAGCGAGCUUAACCGAUAGGGAGGCGUAGGGAAACCGAGUCUGAUAAGGGCGAUAGUUGCUGGGUGUAGACCCGAAACCGGAUGAUCUAUCCAUGGCCAGGAUGAAGGUGCGGUAACACGCUCUGGAGGUCCGAACCCACUAAUGUUGAAAAAUUAGGGGAUGAGCUGUGGAUAGGGGUGAAAGGCUAAACAAAUCCGGAAAUAGCUGGUUCUCUCCGAAAACUAUUUAGGUAGUGCCUCACGUAUCACCUUUGGGGGUAGAGCACUGUUAUGGCUAGGGGGUCAUCGCGACUUACCAAACCAUUGCAAACUCCGAAUACCGAAGAGUGCGAGCGUGGGAGACAGACAUCGGGUGCUAACGUUCGGUGUCAAAAGGGAAACAACCCAGACCGCCGAUUAAGGUCCCCAAGACAUGGUUAAGUGGGAAACGAGGUGGGAAGGCUCAGACAGCCAGGAGGUUGGCUUAGAAGCAGCCAUCCUUUAAAGAAAGCGUAAUAGCUCACUGGUCGAGUCGUCCUGCGCGGAAGAUGUAACGGGG
rnacentral:rRNA from 1 species